UCAGGGGUUCAACGUCUCCGGGGGCGUUUUCGGGGGGGCCUCGGACUGCGCCGGCUUUUUUGGGGUGGGGGCUUGGAUGGGGCUGAUCUCGGGGGGGCUCCUGCUGGGGGGGCUCCUGCUGGGGGGAGGGGUCCUGCUGGGGCUGCGCCCCAUGGAUCGCUUCGACGACCCCCGGGGGCCCCCCCUGCCCGUGCCCCUGGGGGAGUGAGGGACCCCGAAAACCCAAAAUCCUGCCCAAAAACUCGGCCCAAAAUUGGGGGAGAAAUCCCAAAAGUUUGGGGGAGAAAUCCUGAAAGUUUGGGGGAAAAAAUGCAAAAAUUUGGGGGCAAAAUCCCAAAAAAUCUGGCGAAAAACCAUGAAAAUUUGGGGGAGAAAGCACAAAAGUUUAGGGGAGAAAUCCUAAAAAUUCAGGGGAGAAAUCCUAAAAAUUUGGGGUAAAAAUCCCAAAAAUUCAGGAGAGCAAUCCCAAAAGGUUGGGGGAGAAACCCUGAAAGUUUGGGGGCAAAAUCCCAAAAAAUCUGGCGAAAAACCAUGAAAAUUUGGGGGAGAAAGCACAAAAGUUUAGGGGAGAAAUCCUGAAAGUUUGGGA